rnacentral:Y_RNA from 1 species
GGCUGGUCCAAGUGCAGGGGUGUUUACAACUAAUAGAUCACAACCAGCUACAAAUACAGAUUUCUUUGUUCCUGCUCCACUCCACUGCUUCACUUGGCUAGUCUUAA